rnacentral:SRP_RNA from 2 species
GUUGGGCAUGGUGGUGCAUGCCUGUGGUCCCAGCUACUCUGAAGGCUGAGGCGGGAGGAUUACUUGAGCCCAGGAGUUCAAGCCUGCAGUGAGCUGUGAUCGUGCCACUGCACUCCAGCCUGGGCAACAGAGUGAGACCUUGUCUCUA